CCUACGGGAGGCAGCAGUGAGGAAUAUUGGUCAAUGGGCGCAAGUCUGAACCAGCCAAGUAGCGUGCAGGAUGACGGCCCUCCGGGUUGUAAACUGCUUUUAGUUGGGAAUAAAAGGGGGCUCGUGAGCCUCGUAUUGUAUGUACCAUCAGAAAAGGGACCGGCUAAUUCCGUGCGAGCAGCCGAGGUAACAGGGAGGGUCCGUGAGUUAUCCGGAUUUAGUGGGUUUAAAGGGAGCGUAGACGGGCUUUGAAGUCAGCUGUGAAAGUCCGCGGCUCAACCGUGGAAUUGCAGUUGAAACUGGGGGCCUUGAGUGCAGACAGGGAAGGCGGAAUUCAUGGUGUAGCGGUGAAAUGCUUAGAUAUCAUGAAGAACUCCGAUGGCGAAGGCAAGUGGCUGGAGUGCAACUGACGUUGAGGCUCGAAAGUGCGGGUAUCAAACAGGAUUAGAUACCCGAGUAGUC
rnacentral:rRNA from 1 species